AGUACAGCUUCGGCCGCCGCGCCGCCUGGCUUUCGUAUUCGUUGUUCUCGGCGGGCUGUGGGGCCUCCGCGCCGCGGCCGUUAGUCAUGUCGGAUUCUGGAAGUUACGGUCAGUCUGGGGGUGAGCAGCAAAGUUAUUCUACCUAUGGAAAUCCAGGCAACCAAGGCUAUGGACAAGCAUCACAAGUUAUUCACAGUCCUAUGGUGGUUAUGAGAAUCAAAAGCAGAGCUCAUAUAGCCAGCAACCAUAUAAUAACCAGGGACAGCAGCAAAACGUGGAAUCAUCAGGAAGCCAAGGUGGAAGAGCACCUUCCUAUGACCAGCCAGACUAUGGUCAACAAGAUUCAUAUGACCAGCAGUCAGGCUAUGAUCAACAUCAAGGCUCAUAUGAUGAGCAGUCAAAUUAUGAU
rnacentral:sRNA from 1 species